UGGUUAUACAUGAUGCACUUCUUUCACUUUAUUUUUCUUUCCCCCAAUGGUCAUUCUGAUUUAUGAAUGCUAUGACUAUUUGUAGGAUGAUGGAAUAUAUGAAGUUGUUGUAGGAAUUGACUUUGUCAUUACUAGAGUUGCAUUUCGAGACAACUCUUCAAAGUACUACAUAAAUGACUGUGGAAAUAAUUUUACAGAGGUCACUAAGAAAUUGAAAGGAAAAGGAGUGGACUUCGAAAACAAUCGGUUUUUGAUUCUUCAGGGUGAAGUAGAGCAAAUUUCUCUAAUGAAGCCAAAGAUUUGUAUUUUCAGCAUUAUUGUAAUUGUAAUUGUAAUUGAUUAAAUGAAUGAUUGUAAUUGUAAUUGAUUGAAUGAAGGAUUGUAAUUGAUUGUAAUUAUAAUUGAUUAAAUGAAGGAUUGUAAUUGA